AACGAACGCUGGCGGCAUGCCUAACACAUGCAAGUCGAACGAGACCUCCGGGACAAGUGGCGCACGGGUGCGUAACGCGUGGGAAUCUGCCCUUAGGUUCGGAAUAACUGCCCGAAAGGGGUGCUAAUACCGGAUAAUGCCUUCGGAGAAAAGAUUUAUCGCCUUUGGAUGGGCCCGCGUUGGAUUAGCUAAUUGGUAGGGUAAAAGCCUACCAAGGCGACGAUCCAUAGCUGGUCUGAGAGGAUGAUCAGCCACACUGGGACUGAGACACGGCCCAGACUCCUACGGGAGGCACCAGUGGCGGAUCUUGCACGCUCGACGAAAGCCUGAUGGACCAAUGCCGCUUGAGUGCUGAAGGCCUUAGGGUUGUGAAGCUCUUUUACCCGCGAUGAUAAUGACGGUACCGGGAGAAUAAGCUCCGGCUAACUCCGUG
rnacentral:rRNA from 1 species